AAGGGCGCAUGGUGGAUGCCUUGGCAUGCUGGGCCGAUGAAGGACGUGUGAGGCUGCGUUAUGCCUCGGGGAGUUGUCAACGAAGCGUUGAUCCGAGGAUGUCCGAAUGGGGAAACCCGGCCACGGUUGUGUGUGGUCACCGUAUGAUGAAUUCAUA
rnacentral:sRNA from 1 species